AUGUCAAAAGCACCUCAAAAGACUAAGCACAAACUGGGCGAGGCCAGGCAGCGUUUCAAGCUGUAUCUUCCUCCCUGCCCGUGUUACAUAAUGGGUGGAGAUACACACAGUUUGUGCGUUGUCUGCCUCGGAGCGGAGCAUGCAGAGUCGGCAGAGUCGGCAGAUCGGCGGUCUUGCUUGUGGGGUUCGCAGUUGAAUCUGGCGGAGGGAACGGAGACAGGCAAGUUCCCUAUCUUCUUCCUCACCCGCCAGAUCCAGUACCCGUUCUCAGGGAUUGGAAACAUGCAUACUGAACUAUAUCGACGAUUGGUUGAUUUUAGCUCAAUCAGAGCAGACAGUGGUUUGACAUCGAGAUGUCAUUCUCGCCCACAUGAGAGAGCUAGGGUUAAGACUAAACGCCAAGAAAAGUGUACUUUCUCCAUUAUAGAGGACCAAUUAUCUAGGCGUGGUGUGGGAUUCGACCACGAUACAGGCAUGAAUGUCACCUGCUCGGAUCAAGUCGAUCCUCACCGCAGUCGCGGGAGCGAGAGAAGGCCGGUCACUCACUGUCAAGCAGUUUCAGAGACUGCUGGGUCUGAUGGCAGCUGCAUCCAACGUGAUACCUCUUGGCCUGCUGUACAUGAGACCCCUACAGUGGUGGCUCAAGAACAAGGGGUUCUCCCAAAGGGGAAACCCACUUUGCAUGAUCAAGGUCAUGCGGCGAUGCCUACGUGCCUUAUGUGGAGAAAGCCUUGGUUCUUGUUUCAGGGCCCGGAGCUGGGAGCUCCUUGUUGCUGCGUAACGCUAGCGACGGUCGUGUUCCUCACUGGCUGGGGUGAGGUCAUGAGUGGCCACCCUGGCCACGGUCUGUGGAGUGGUCGCCAUCUGACAUGGCAUAUAAACUACCUGGAGAUGCUGGCCGUGCUUCGAGCACUACAACACUUUCUCCCAGACCUAAGAGGUCACCAUGUGUUGGUGCGCAAUGACAACACUGCGGUGGUCUCUUACAUCAACCACCAAGGGGGUCUGCGCUCACUCCGUUUGUACAAACUAGCAUACCAGAUCCUUGAUUUCCCUCCUCGACGGCUCUCCUUGGGAGAUUCCCGUCAGGAGGGAUCUCCUCUUACAGGCGGAGGGCACUAUAGUCCACCCCCGCCCGGAGCUGUGGAAUUUAUGGGUGUGGCCUCUGAGGGGGCACAACUCGUAGCUUCCGGUCUCUCAACCAAGGUUGUUGAGACCAUCCUCCAAUCCAGAGCUCCCUCAAUGAGGAAACUGUACACCUUGAAGUGGAAGCUUUUCACUUCUUGGUGUGGAGACCGCCAGCUCAACCCAGUUAACUGCCCAGUUGGUACAGUGCUGCAGUACAGGGCUGCAGGCCCGCUUCUCCGCAGGGUUGACCCACUCCACCCUGAAGGUCUAGGUGGCGGCCAUUGCGGACUACCACGCCCCUCUCGGUGGCCAGUCAGUGGGCAGACACCCCCUAGUUAA
ensembl:lncRNA